GGAGGGGGUUAGCGUUGUUCGGAAUUACUGGGCGUAAAGCGCGCGUAGGCGGAUUAGAAAGUUGGGGGUGAAAUCCCGGGGCUCAACCUCGGAACUGCCUCCAAAACUGCUAGUCUAGAGUUCGAGAGAGGUGAGUGGAAUUCCGAGUGUAGAGGUGAAAUUCGUAGAUAUUCGGAGGAACACCAGUGGCGAAGGCGGCUCACUGGCUCGAUACUGACGCUGAGGUGCGAAAGUGUGGGGAGCAAACAGGAUUAGAUACCCUGGUAGUCCACACCGUAAACGAUGAAUGCCAGUCGUCGGGUAGUAUACUAUUCGGUGACACACCUAACGGAUUAAGCAUUCCGCCUGGGGAGUACGGUCGCAAGAUUAAAACUCAAAGGAAUUGACGGGGGCCCGCACAAGCGGUGGANCAUGUGGUUUAAUUCCAAGCAACGCGCAGAACCUUACCAACCCUUGACAUCCUGUGCUACAUCCAAAGAUGGAUGGUUCCCUUCCGGGACGCAGUGACNGGUGCUGCAUGCUGUCGUCACUCNU
rnacentral:rRNA from 1 species